AAAGAUUGAACUGAAGAGUUUGAUCCUGGCUCAGAUUGAACGCUGGCGGUAUGCUUAACACAUGCAAGUCGAAC
rnacentral:rRNA from 1 species